AUACGGAGGGUGCAAGCGUUAUCCGGAUUUAUUGGGUUUAAAGGGUCCGUAGGCGGACUGGUAAGUCAGCGGUGAAAUCUCAUAGCUUAACUAUGAAACUGCCGUUGAUACUGUCAGUCUUGAGUGUAGUUGAAGUAGCUGGAAUGAGUAGUGUAGCGGUGAAAUGCAUAGAUAUUACUCAGAACACCAAUUGCGAAGGCAGGUUACUAAGUUACAACUGACGCUGAUGGACGAAAGCGUGGGGAGCGAACAGGAUUAGAUACCCUGGUAGUCCACGCCGUAAACGAUGCUUACUCGUUUUUGGGUUUUCGGAUUCAGAGACUAAGCGAAAGUGAUAAGUAAGCCACCUGGGGAGUACGUUCGCAAGAAUGAA
rnacentral:rRNA from 1 species